rnacentral:rRNA from 1 species
GACGAACGCUGGCGGCGUGCUUAACACGUGCAAGUCGAACGGUGAAGGGACCAGCUUGCUGGUUCUGGAUGAGUGGCGAACGGGUGAGUAACACGUGAGUAACCUGCCCCCUUCUUCUGGAUAACCGCAUGAAAGUGUGGCUAAUACGGGAUAUUCUGGGUCUGUCGCAUGGCGGGCCCGGGUCAGAUUUUGCUUCGGUGGGGGAUGGGCUCGCGGCCUAUCAGCGUGUUGGUGGGGUGAUGGCCUACCAAGGCGGUGACGGGUAGCCGGCCUGAGAGGGUGGACGGUCACACGGGGACUGAGACACGGCCCAGACUCCUACGGGAGGCAGCAGUGGGGAAUAUUGCACAAUGGGCGCAAGCCUGAUGCAGCGACGCCGCGUGAGGGAUGGAGGCCUUCGGGUUGUAAACCUCUUUCGCCAGUGAAGCAGGCCUGCUCCUUGUGGGUGGGUUGACGGUAGCUGGAUAAGAAGCGCCGGCUAACUACGUG